rnacentral:rRNA from 1 species
AGGCUGCAGUAGGGAAUAUUGGUCAAUGGAGGCAACUCUGAACCAGCCAUGCCGCGUGCAGGACUAAGGCCCUAUGGGUCGUAAACUGCUUUUGAACGGGAAGAAAUGUAUCUACGUGUAGAUAUUUGACGGUACCGUUAGAAUAAGGAUCGGCUAACUUCGUGCCAGCAGCCGCGGUAAUACGAAGGAUCCAAGCGUUGUCCGGAUUUACUGGGUUUAAAGGGUGCGUAGGCGGACUUAUAAGUCAGUGGUGAAAGCCUUCAGCUUAACUGAAGAACUGCCAUUGAAACUGUAAGUCUCGAGUUCGGUUGAGGUCAUUGGAAUGUAACAUGUAGCGGUGAAAUGCAUAGAUAUGUUACAGAACACCAAUUGCGAAGGCAGAUGACUAAACCGAAACUGACGCUGAGGCACGAAAGCGUGGGGAUCAAACAGGAUUAGAUACCCGUGUAGUC